UUAGUAAAACUUUAAAAUGUAAUCAUCAGUAGUAAAAUAUGCAAACUAUAUAAUGAUCUUACUGUUUAGAAGAACCUUCACUCUGCAAAACUGAAGUAUAAUGAUAACAGGUUCAUGUUUGGUUGACUGGUAAAAUAGCUCCAGUUUUGAUACAUGAUCAUCCCACAAUGUGCAUUUGAUUUGAUUACCCCUAUUUUUAGUAUUAAUUCACACACUUCAAAAUCUUGCAGAGUAUAUACAACAGGGAGCAGAAAACAUUUUAUAAUCUUACAAGGUGUCUUCAAGUAGAAAAUUGAUCAGCCUAGUAUUCCUGCCAAAUAUGACCUUCUCUUGUUGAACAUCAUAGUAACGUACCAGCCUAAGUUUGAUGGCACUUGUGGUGUUCCUGGUAGCAAUGUCACGACCAAGAAUGUAUAGGGGAGCCAUUGGUAUGACAAAGGUUAUGCUAGGGCUUUGUUUUGAAGUUAUCUGAUAGGGUUUUAAAGAGUGAAGAUGGCAGAUAUAUAUACACCAGAUUAUACCAAUUCAAAAAAUCAAAAAACAAUUGAACAGACUUUGGUUAGCCCAAAAGACGCAUCGUGGACAGUCGAUCUCCAUGUUUAUUAUUUUUGGGAAAUAUAAUCUGUGAUGAUGGUGUUUAA